AUACGUAGGGGGCGAGCGUUGUCCGGAAUGACUGGGCGUAAAGGGCGUGUAGGCGGCGGUGUAAGUCUGGAGUGAAAGUCCCGCAUUCAAUGUGGGAAUUGCUUUGGAUACUGCAGUGCUAGAGUGCGGAAGAGGUAAGUGGAAUUCCCAGUGUAGCGGUGAAAUGCGUAGAGAUUGGGAGGAACACCAGUGGCGAAGGCGACUUACUGGGCCGUAACUGACGCUGAGGCGCGAAAGCGUGGGGAGCGAACAGGAUUAGAUACCCUGGUAGUCCACACUGUAAACGAUGAAUGCUAGGUGUAAGAGGUAUCGACCCCUUUUGUGCCGGAGUCAACACAAUAAGCAUUCCGCCUGGGGAGUACGGCCGCAAGGUUGAAACUCAAAUGAAUUGACGGGG
rnacentral:rRNA from 1 species